rnacentral:rRNA from 1 species
CAAUAGCGUAUAUUAAAGUUGUUGCAGUUAAAAAGCUCGUAGUUGAAUUUUUGCUUGCCGCCGAUGUCGGAACUUCCGUCCGUUCGGCGGCGUGCAUCCUUGGGUGGAACCUGUGUGGCAUUAGGUUGUCGUGCAGGGGAUGCUCAUCGUUUACUGUGAAAAAAUUAGAGUGUUCAAAGCAGGCUUACGCCGUUGAAUAUAUUAGCAUGGAAUAAUAAGAUAGGACCUUGGUACUAUUUUGUUGGUUUGCGCACCGAGGUAAUGAUUAACAGGGACAGUUGGGGGUAUUCGUAUUCCAUUGUCAGAGGUGAAAUUCUUGGAUUUCUGGAAGACGAACUACUGCGAAAGCAUUUACCAAGGAUGUUUUCAUUA